rnacentral:rRNA from 1 species
AUACGGAGGGUGCAAGCGUUGUCCGGAUUUAUUGGGUUUAAAGGGUACGUAGGCGGAUUUUUAAGUCCGUGGUGAAAGCCUGCAGCUUAACUGUAGAAUUGCCAUGGAUACCGGAAAUCUUGAGUUCAGUUGAGGUAAGCGGAAUUUAUGAUGUAGCGGUGAAAUGCAUAGAUAUCAUAAAGAACACCUAUUGCGAAGGCAGCUUACUGGACUUGAACUGACGCUAAGGUACGAAAGCGUGGGGAGCGAACAGGAUUAGAAACCCCAGUAGUCC